rnacentral:tRNA from 1 species
GGAGGGGUGGCCGAGUGGUUGAAGGCGGCAGUCUUGAAAACUGUUAGGCGCGCAAGUGUCUCGGGGGUUCGAAUCCCUCCCCCUCCG